UUAGGCUUCUGGAAAGUCAGUGGACACUAGUGAUGCCAUUGCUAUGGGGAUACUGACAGACUGCCCCCAAACUGUUUCCUCCUGUGCUGUAAGACGUUUGCUUUGUAACUUGGUCACGGAUCCAAGCCCAUGCUGGGGGAAAUGGCACUAGUGCUCCUUACAUCCCUCUAAAAGGCAGUUAGGGGAAACUUUCACUGGAAGUCAUGGUAGCGUUGCUCACUGGCUGACUGCGCCAGCGUGAAGAACAGAGUGCCUGCCCUCAGGACCAUCGUGGGGGGCAUCACCUGCCAAGAAGCACAGAUCGAUGUUCAGCUUUAAGUAGUAUCUGAUUUACAACACUGUGUUUUACUUAAACCUUGUCAAUGGAAGAAAUCUACUUCAUAAAUAGAAGCCUGUGCCUUCCCACAGCUUUGAACAUGAAUUUGUAAUUCUGAUUACGAUGUUGGAAAGCAUGAAAAACAAAAACAAUGGUUGCAUAUGCUUUUAUACCCCCACGCCUUGGGGUAUGUUAAGAUUCUCGUGAAACAGUUACGAGGAACUCCUAGUAGAGAGUAGCAGGCACAGACCGAAGCUGCAGCUCACUGCAGAAAGUGUACUUGGCAGUUGUGGAUUUCUGUACCGACCGGUCUUCUGUUGACUUUGUCCUUUCCCCCCAGGUACCGAGUUACUCAGUCUGCUCUCCACUGUCCAUGUUGUUGGGAUCCGGCACAACCGAGCCUGUGUACUGGGACCCUCUGGACUGGGUACAGCCAUGCUGGGGGUUGUUUGGGUGGGGAAUUGCCAUAUUGCUGUUUCUUUAAGGACUAUCAACUCUCCCUGGAUAUUUUGUCACUCAGAACUCUUUCAGAGGUAUUUCUUGAAGGUGCUUCUAAUGAAAACACAUGGGUAUUACGUGAUCUAAAUGUCCCUCGAAUUCACUUAACUUUUCUUGUCCUUGUUUCCCUUCAAAUAUGUUGUCUAUAUUUUCUCCCCUAAUUUGGAAACAAUGUGACUGAAAUUUUUCCCAAUCUCACCUUCCUAAACACCCACCCGCUCAGCACUUCACUUCCCUGCCUGUAAUGGUUGAAAAACAUGUGGCCAGUUCUGGACCUGGGGUUGGUUCCUUGAUGAAGAUGAUGCCUCAAAACAGUUCUAAAAAUGUUUACAUUACAAGGCUAGGUUGGGAAUGUCACAUAUAAAACCUGGAUGGUUUGAAAAUGCUGCCAUGAACAGUUAUGACUUGCCCACAUGCACUACAGUAAACCCACAAUGUAUCUUUCACCUUUUCUACUUGCACACAUUGACAUAUGUACUUUGUUUAACCGCAGUGUAUUUGAAAAUGAUCAUAAACAGCUGUAUUGAAAUUUUGUUUUCAAUUAAAUUUCUGUGUAAAAGUC
rnacentral:lncRNA from 1 species